rnacentral:rRNA from 1 species
UGGGCUCAAAACUAAAGAACCCAAAUAUCUAAACGGAGAGAUUCAAUACUGAACUUAACACUCAGUGUGCACUUCUCUCUUAGUAAGACGCCGUGAUCCAUUAGAAAUUGGUAGACGCCAGUCUAUAUGAGGUCAUCAAUGGGCUUGUACGAAGUUUAUUGGAACGAAUGGCAURAUCUUUCAACGGUUGUGUGUAUUGUCUGGUAAGCGUGCGAGUACUCGUAAUGACUGUCUGAUGGAUUUUAAAGAUUGUAUCACUGAUGUUACGGCAUCACUCGCUUCGGCGAGCGUUUGAUAUGUAUCCGAUCAACGGCGGUUAAAUUUGGGAUACCUUUUGGACCCGUCUUGAAACACGGACCAAGGAGUCUAUCUAAUGUGCGAGUAAAUGAGUUGUAAACUUAUUUGCGUAAUAAACGUAACUAUUUAAUGGGAUUACGAGUCACCAUGCUCUUCCAUCCCGGAGUAUUUUCAUCCACAUAUACGCAAGUAUAUGGAAAAUAUAUCAUGAGCAUAUUGGAUACGACCCGAAAGAUGGUGAACUAUGCUUGAUCAGGUCGAAGUCAGGGGAAACCCUGAUGGAGGACCGAAGCAGUUCUGACGUGCAAAUCGAUUGUCAGAAUUGAGCAUAGGGGCGAAAGACCAAUCGAACCAUC